AUGUAUGUUUUUUGUUUAUUAACGGCUUACAUUCGAGGAAGUUGUUCAGUGUCUGGGCAUAGAUGUCAAAGCUCUCUGUGUCCUUGGUGUUGUAGAGGAUCUCCAUGGCCUCGCCCCGUGGACGGAUCAUCAUACCUACAGUACAACAGAGAUGGUAAGAGAUUAGGGUGUGUCAGUGCCUGGGGUAACGAGGAGGUCCUGGUAGGUGUGUGUGUCUGUACCUGGGGUAACGAGUCGGUCCUGGUAGGUGUGUGUCU
rnacentral:lncRNA from 13 species